AUGACGCCGGCCAGACUCUCAGCCAGGAUGCCCCGGAGCCCAUGGCAGCCCCGCAGGGCCCCGCCUGGGGAUUGCAGCUUCCGGAGCCAACCCCGCUCUGCACAAUGGCCGGAAAUGGCCGGCUCAGGCUCUGGUCCAGGCAGCCACGUGUGGCCCUGGGAGAGGCAGGAGGGCUGCCUGCGUGAGCGCCAGGCCCUCCUGGUGGCCUGCUGUCUCUGGGUGGACUGCGGACGCCUCCCCACAGAAGGCUGGGCUGGACGGGUGUUCACGGAGCAGGCCACAGGUGUCCAUGAGGCCCAAGGCCCACCCUCGCUGUGUGGUCAGGGAGGACGCCCCUCCUCCACCGCUUCUGGCCUCUGUGCUCUGGAACUCCUGUCAGCCAGGUGGCCGCCCCCAGAGUCCACUGGACCCCAAGGCAGACCCCUGCCUCCAGAUCUUGUCACUCUAUUAGCUCCUCCACACCCUCGUGGCGGCCCAGAGCCACGGGAUCCCUCACCCCCACACCCAGCAGCCCUGAGGGUCUCCCCAGGCCACCCUCUCUCUGGCCACCGCUUAACUCCAACCAUGGUGACCAACCCCUGCCGGGUCGGGGGGCAGGAUGGGGUCCAGGCUACUGGGGGGAGGAGUGGGUCGAGGCCCCAGCUCCUGAUCCCACACCCUGCAGUUGGGUCAAGCCAUCCCCUCCCCGGUGGCCCUGCAGGGUCAGUGUUUGCACAGCUGGAAUUGCCAGAGCUGGUCUGCGACCUGCCCCCGUUUCAUUUUUAAUUGGUCCUUCUGGAGGCAAGCAUGGGAGGGGGUCGGAGUGGAGGAAAUCACCUCCACUGGGAAGGACGACUCAGCUGGGGGGAGGUGGGGAGGAGGGGGCUCUGGAAUGUGCUGUCAGCUGGGGGUCUGGAAGGGGUGGGGAAAGCUGUGUUCUCUGACCCCAGAGAGCAAAGCCCACCCCCCCCCCCCAUCUGUUCCAUCACCAUCCCUUCUGGUGGGAGAGCUGAGGACAGACAUGUGCGUGAUGGAGAGGUUCUUGCCCUGGGCCCCCACACCCCCGGGCCCCCCCACACCCCUGGGCUGGGGCUCUGGGCAGCAGGGGAGAGGUGGGUGUGCUCAGGGGCUCUGGGAAGCCACAGCCGGGACCAGGCAUGGUAACAGGGCCUAGGAGGCCAGUGGAGGCCAGCCUGGUGGGGCGAACACUGGCAUGAGUGCCUUGGUCUCCUCUCCCUUGGGCAUGCCCUAAGCUCCCCCACAGCCUGAGCCGUCUGUACUCGGCCUUUCCCACGUUGUGCCCUCGGAUCCCCAAGGGCCAGGACAGAGCGAGGGCUGGGCGAGGCUGCCCAGGGCCGGAGGGCGCGUUCUGGGGCUGCAGUGGGGGGGUGCUUAGGGGUAGUUGGGCCACAGGGGCAGGAGUCGGGGGCCCUGAGUUUGGGGAAGCAAGGCCCUGGGCGGCUCUGGCCUUCAGAUGUGAUAAAGACCUGGGCUUUGCCUGAGGGGGCCCCGAAUUCCAGGCUGGAAAGUUCUAGCUCUGCCACUGGGCCUCCCUUCUGGGCUUUGUCCUCUGACUGCAGGGCUCCCCAGCUGCCGACCUCUUUGGGAAGGCCUCCCCGUGCCCCUCCUCCCACGGGGCCUGCCGCUCCUGCUUGCAGACCCGCUGCCCCUGGCAUGCUGCCCACCAUGCAGACCUGCGAGGCCUGGGUGCAGAAGGCUCCCGGUCAGUGCCGAGGUCAUGCGUGAAUGGCCUCUUGCACGAUGGUCCGAGCGGAGGCCUGGUGGUCAGCUGGCUGGACAGGAGGCAGCCACUUCCUGGGCUGGCUGGUGACUCACAGGCCCAUUUCUGGGAAAACCAUCCCCCUACCAGAUCCGGGUGGUGUGGAGCUCGGCCCAGUGGGGGCUAGCUGUGGGAAGUGUGGUU
rnacentral:lncRNA from 1 species